GGUUUAAGGUUUUUGGCGUUAGGGUCAAAAUCACUGUCCAAAACCUUUGUAGGAACUCUUUUCCAACCUUUUGGAGUUAGUUAGACCAAAAAAAAAUGAAAAAUGAAAAAAAAAUAUUUGGGGUGUUCGGGCUUCCUGAAGGUAAUACCCGGGUAUUAGGUUAUGGGGCUAGGGUAAGGUUUAAGGUUUUUGGCGUUAGGGUUAAAAUCACUGUCCAAAACCUUUGUAGGAACUCUUUUCCAACCUUUUGGAGUUAGUUAGACCAAAAAAAAUGAAAAAUGAAAAAAAAAUAUUUGGGGUGUUCGGUCUUCCUGAAGGUAAUACCCGGGUAUUAGGUUAUGGGGCUAGGGUCAGGUUUAAGGUUUUUGGCGUUAGGGUUAAAAUCACUGUCCAAAACCUUUGUAGGAACUCUUUUCCAACCUUUUGGAGUUAGUUACACCAAAAAAAAAUGAAAAAUGAAAAAAAAAUAUUUGGGGUGUUCGGGCUUCCUGAAGGUAAUACCCGGGUAUUAGGUUAUGGGGCUAGGGAAAGGUUUAAUGUUUUUGGCGUUAGGGUUAAAAUCACUGUCCAAAACCUUUGUAGGAACUCUUUUCCAACCUUUUGGAGUUAGUUAGACCAAAAAAAAAACGAAAAAUGAAAAAAAAAAAUAUUUGGGGUGUUCGGGCUUCCUGAAGGUAAUACCCGGGUAUUAGGUUAUGGGGCUAGGGUAAGGUUUAAGGUUUUUGGCGUUAGGGUUAAAAUCACUGUCCAAAACCUUUGUAGGAACUCUUUUCCAACCUUUUGGAGUUAGUUAGACCAAAAAAAAAAGUAAAAUGAAAAAAAAAUAUUUGGGGUGUUCGGGCUUCCUGAAGGUAAUACCCGGGUAUUAGGUUAUGGGGCUAGGGUAAGGUUUAAGGUUUUUGGCGUUAGGGUUAAAAUCACUGUCCAAAACCUUUGUAGGAACUCUUUUCCAACCUUUUGGAGUUAGUUAGACCCAAAAGAAAUGAAAAAUGAAAAAAUAUAUAUUUGGGGUUUUCGGGCUUUCUGAAGGUAAUACCCGGGUAUUAGGUUAUGGGGCUAGGGUAAGGUUUAAGGUUUUUGGCGUUAGGGUUAAAAUCACUGUCCAAAACCUUAGUAGGAACUCUUUUCCAACCUUUUGGAGUUAGUUAGACCAAAAAAAAAAAAAUGAAAAUGAAAAAAAAUAUUUGGGGUGUUCGGGCUUCCUGAAGGUAAUACCCGGUAUUAGGUUAUGGGGCUAGGGUAAGGUUUAAGGUUUUUGGCGUUAGGGUUAAAAUCACUGUCCAAAACCUUUGUAGGAACUCUUUUCCAACCUUUUGGAGUUAGUUAGACCAAAAAAAAAAAAAAAAAAAAAAAAUAUUUGGGGUUUUCGGGCUUCCUGAAGGUAAUACCCGGGUAUUAGGUUAUGGGGCUAGGGUAAGGUUUAAGGUUUUUGGCGUUAGGGUUAAAAUCACUGUCCAAAACCUUUGUAGGAACUCUUUUCCAACCUUUUGGAGUUAGUUAGACCACAAAAAAAAAAAAAAAAAUAUUUGGGGUGUUCGGGCUUCCUGAAGGUAAUACCCGGGUAUUAGGUUAUGGGGCUAGGGUAAGGUUUAAGGUUUUUGGCGUUAGGGUUAAAAUCACUGUCCAAAACCUUUGUAGGAACUCUUUUCCAACCUUUUGGAGUUAGUUAGACCCAAAAAAAAAGAAAAUGAAAAAAAAAAAAUAUUUGGGGUGUUCGGGCUUCCUGAAGGUAAUACCUGGGUAUUAGGUUAUGGGGCUAGGGUAAGGUUUAAGGUUUUUGGCAUUAGGGUUAAAAUCACUGUCCAAAACCUUUGUAGGAACUCUUUUCCAACCUUUUGGAGUUAGUUAGACCAAAAAAAAAACAAAAAUGAAAAAAAAAAUAUUUGGGGUGUUCGGCUUCCUGAAGGUAAUACCCGGGUAUUAGGUUAUGGGGCUAGGGAAGGUUUAAGGUUUUUGGCGUUAGGGUUAAAAUCACUGUCCAAAACCUUUGUAGGAACUCUUUUUCAACCUUUGGAGUUAGUUAGACCAAAAAAAAAAAAAAUGAAAAAAAAAUAUUUGGGGUGUUCGGGCUUCCUGAAGGUAAUACCCGGGUAUUAGGUUAUGGGGCUAGGGUAAGGUUUAAGGUUUUUGGCAUUAGGGUUAAAAUCACUGUCCAAAACCUUUGUAGGAACUCUUUUCCAACCUUUUGGAGUUAGUUAGACCAAAAAAAAAAUGAAAAAUGAAAAAAAAAUAUUUGGGGUGUUCGGGCUUCCUGAAGGUAAUACCCGGGUAUUAGGUUAUGGGGCUAGGGUAAGGUUUAAGGUUUUUGGCGUUAGGGUUAAAAUCACUGUCCAAAACCUUUGUAGGAACCCUUUUCCAACCUUUUGGAGUCAGUUAGACCCAAAAGAAAUGAAAAAUGAAAAAAAAAAAUAUUUGCGGUGUUUGGCUUUCCUGAAGGUAAUACCCGGGUAUUAGGUUAUGGGGCUAGGGUAAGGUUUAAGGUCUUUGGAGUUAGGGUUAAAAUCACUGUCCAAAACCUUUGUAGGAACUCUUUCCCAACCUUUUGGAGUUAGUUAGACCCAAAAGAAAUCAAAAUGAAAAAAAAAUAUUUGGGGUGUUCGGCUUCCUGAA